GAUGAACGCUGGCGGCGUGCCUAAUACAUGCAAGUCGAGCGAACGGACGAGAAGCUUGCUUCUCUGAUGUUAGCGGCGGACGGGUGAGUAACACGUGGAUAACCUACCUAUAAGACUGGGAUAACUUCGGGAAACCGGAGCUAAUACCGGAUGAUAUUUUGAACCGCAUGGUUCAAAAGUGAAAGACGGUCUUGCUGUCACUUAUAGAUGGAUCCGCGCUGCAUUAGCUAGUUGGUAAGGUAACGGCUUACCAAGGCAACGAUGCAUAGCCGACCUGAGAGGGUGAUCGGCCACACUGGAACUGAGCCACGGUCCAGACUCCUACGGGAGGCAGCAGUAGGGAAUCUUCCGCAAUGGGCGAAAGCCUGACGGAGCAACGCCGCGUGAGUGAUGAAGGUCUUCGGAUCGUAAAACUCUGUUAUUAGGGAAGAACAUAUGUGUAAGUAACUGUGCACAUCUUGACGGUACCUAAUAAGAAAGCCACGGCUAACUACGUG
rnacentral:rRNA from 1 species